GACGAACGCUGGCGGCGUGCUUAACACAUGCAAGUCGAACGGAAAGGCCCCUUUGGGGGUACUCUAGUGGCGAACGGGUGAGUAACACGUGAGUAACCUGCCCUUGACUUCGGGAUAACUUCAGGAAACUGGGGCUAAUACCGGAUAGGAAUCCUUGCUGCAGGGUGGGGGUUGGAAAGCUUCGGCGGUUUUGGAUGUACUCGCGGCUUAUCAGCUUGUUGGUGGGGUAGUGGCUUACCAAGGCGUUGACGGGUAGCCGGCCUGAGAGGGCGACCGGCCACAUUGGGACUGAGAUACGGCCCAGACUCCUACGGGAGGAAGAAGGGGGGAAGAUUGCACAAUGGGCGGAAGCCUGAUGCAGCAACGCCGCGUGCGGGAUGACGGCCUUCGGGUUGUAAACCGCUUUCAGCAGGGGCGAAGCUUGUGGUGACGGUACCUGCAGAAGAAGCACCGGCUAACUACGUG
rnacentral:rRNA from 1 species